GCCGGAGUGGCGGAACGGCAGACGCGGCGGACUCAAAAUCCGCUGUCCACCAGGGCGUGAGGGUUCGAAUCCCUCCUCAGGCACCA
rnacentral:tRNA from 1 species